AAAGUGAAGGAGGCUCUCCAAAUCUUGAAUUCUCCUUCCCCUUCUUCCCCUACUGUCCUAAGACCUUCACUUUGUUUUGCUCCCAACCCCACUCCUCCUCGGUCUUUCCUCUCAUUUAUGUAUCCAAGAACGACGCCGACUCUAAAUCACUCUAUGUCAAUUUCGAUGAUAAUGUGAGUCACCAGAAAGAAAGGUUCUUUUUGGUUUUCCAUACCUCAGAUUGAGUUAGAUGAGCUGGAAAGUGUUUCCAUUCUGUCAAUGACCCUUGCAUGGGAUGAAUUUUCCUUCUCUACUUUUCAAGAAGCCCAUUAUUCGCUUCAAGAUUCUCUAGACCAGCUGUAGAUCCUCAGUACAAGGAUUUAAGGCAUUUUCAGUGGCAUUGGGAAAAGGGGGAGCCUGUCAUUGUCAGCAAUGUGCUUGAAUGUACAUCUGGUUUAAGCUGGGAACCGCUUGUCAUGUGGCGUGCAUUACGUCAUGUAACUAAUACCAAGCAUGGCCAACAUUUGGCGGAGAAAACAAUUGAUUGCUUAGAUUGGACUGAGGUUUGCUUAAUUUCCCAAUCUUUAACUUUAUUGACCAUGGAGAGCUUUUUACACAAAUUUCAUUCUUCACCUUCAUUCUCAUGAAGAUUAUGUUUAAUUGUUUGAUGUUGGUACUUAUUUUAACUGGAACCACUGCAGUUAUGGCAUUUGGAGAAUUAUUUAAUAUUAGCAAUUUUUAUGUUGUUGAAUUUCCUACAUGUUUCCUGAAUUCAGUAACUCCACCUUUUCUGGAUUGAGACUUGAGAGUUAUUUCAGUGCAUUUAAUAUUGUCAGUUAUUGAAUUCCAUAGUGUCAUCAGAACAGAAUGUCCUUGAAAUAUUUUGUGAAGUACUGAAAAAUUACAAUUUUUUGGUGGAUGGUUCCACUUUAAGAAACAGUUUGUAGAUGUUCUGCUAUCUGGGUCAUAAAGAGAUACCGGCCUAAGGUGGAAUGUUGGUAAACAAAACGCACAUUAGGGUGAUAAUUAGAAAUCAUUUUUCUGAGUGUAGUUUUUAUAUCAGUCUCAAAUUUUAAGCCCUUGUUUCAUGCUUUAUGCUGUCUCUCCAUCAUUCUCAAGAAAUAUGGCUAGUGUGAUCAAUUUAUCCUGCUACCAUCAUCAUCAUAUUCAUCUUCUUAGUCCUAGGUUUUGCUCCUUAUCAUAUCAUCUUAGAAAAUUUUAUCUCAAUGUUUGGCUGUUUCUUGUCCCUGCCCCAUUUUGCUGUUUUUGCUUUGCCUGCCCAGACCUUUCUUGUUGCCCUUGCAUCCUUUGGUAUGUUUGUCUAGUUCUUAGACUUGCAGCAUCUAGCUGAUGUUGGGUAAAAUGUACUUUUUAUUUUUUUUAGUUUGUUGAAAAUGUUAUUUUCGAUUUGUACUCAUUCUGUUUUUCUGUUUAGUAAUCAGACUAGAGUAAAUCAUAUCUGCUUUAUUUUACUGAUUUAGUAAUUCUUUACUGGACUUGUUU